CAGCGUUGCUGUCCGGACAGAGCAAAAAAAACAAGGCAUCAGUAUUGUUGAGUAUUAGCUUGUACCUGGUUCGGAGGCUAAGGUUUGCCGGAGAAGGCAGGGGUGAGCCACGGUGGCUGCCCGGCUGUGCACCGGCGCCGGAGUUUGGACCAAGACAAAGACAGGAGCUGUCCGCGGUGCUGAAUCGGCGGCGCCGUCGCCGGAGCAAGGGGGCUUCUGUAACCAGCCCUCUGCUCAUUUACUCCCCAUCCUUCUAGCUCCCCUUCGCUCUGUGACUCUUGCCUUCCCCUGAAUUUAUUUCCCUUUUGGGGGACUCACCUUAGAACCUGCGCCCUGUACACAGGUGUAUAUACAUAUAUCAAAGAACAAAACGAUUGAUUG
rnacentral:lncRNA from 1 species